AAAUUGAAGAGUUUGAUCAUGGCUCAGAUUGAACGCUGGCGGCAGGCCUAACACAUGCAAGUCGAACGGUAACAGGAAACAGCUUGCUGAUUCGCUGACGAGUGGCGGACGGGUGAGUAAUGUCUGGGAAACUGCCUGAUGGAGGGGGAUAACUACUGGAAACGGUAGCUAAUACCGCAUAACGUCGCAAGACCAAAGAGGGGGACCUUCGGGCCUCUUGCCAUCGGAUGUGCCCAGAUGGGAUUAGCUUGUUGGUGGGGUA
rnacentral:rRNA from 1 species